CCUACGGGUGGCAGCAGUGAGGAAUAUUGGUCAAUGGGCGCGAGCCUGAACCAGCCAAGUCGCGUGAGGGAAGACGGUCCUAUGGAUUGUAAACCUCUUUUGUCGGGGAGCAAAAGACGCCACGCGUGGCGUUCCGAGAGUACCCGAAGAAAAAGCAUCGGCUAACUCCGUGCCAGCAGCCGCGGGAAUACGGAGGAUGCGAGCGUUAUCCGGAUUUAUGGGGUUUAAAGGGUGCGCAGGCGGAAGAUCAAGUCAGCGGUAAAAUUGAGAGGCUCAACCUCUUCGAGCCGUUGAAACUGGUUUUCUUGAGUGAGCGAGAAGUAUGCGGAAUGCGUGGUGUAGCGGUGAAAUGCAUAGAGAUCACGCAGAACUCCGAUUGCGAAGGCAGCAUACCGGCGCUCAACUGACGCUCAUGCACGAAAGUGUGGGUAUCGAACAGGAUUAGAUACCCGGGUAGUC
rnacentral:rRNA from 1 species